AUGGCCAUAUAAUGUUGAAACACCAGUUCACAUACAAUCACUGAAGUUAAGCAACAUCAAGCCUGAUAAGUAUCUGGAUGGGUAACUUCUUGUGAACACCAGUUGCUGUAAG